rnacentral:lncRNA from 1 species
ACCCUCAACUUCAAUAUCCCCAUCCUUUGGCUUCAUUAUGUUGUUCAACAUCAUCCAUCAACUGUUCUUCACCAUCAAUCCUUCCCAUAAGAAAAAAUUAAAAGAAUUCAAUAUCUUUUUUUUUUUCAAUUGGAAAUCUGCAAGCCUUGGCUAAUAUAGAGUAAUACAAAUUCUUAGACUAGUUGAUAAUUGAAAAUCUGAAUAUCUUUAGAAGAUAGCACAAAUUCAAUCAAAACAAUCAAGCCACAAAUAAGUAUCCUUGCACAAACUUUAAAAAGUCCAUGGAAUUUAAAUUCCAUGGAAUUGACAUAGAUUCCAGACGACUUUCAAAGAAUUCGUGAUUGGAUUUCACCCUGAUUUUCACUGAUUUUCAAAGAAUUCGUGAUUGGUUCCAAUCGUAUUUGUUUACUUUAAUCUCUAAUUUAUUUCGAGCUCAAAUGGACUGUGAAGUUAGUGGCACAUUGAUUGUAUGCUCGUUAUGUGUGAUUUUAGGGAUUCGGGGUUCGGUUAUAAGAGAUAAUACGAGAGCAGUUAUCGAGUUGAGUCGAAAUAUACAGAAGCUUCUGAGAAGCAUUGACUUCAUUUCUUUGGAAGCCUUUGUAGUUUUUAUUCCUUCAGAAUUUAGAUGGCAGACUUUCCACGUUAUAUCUUUGUAUUCGUUUUCUUUUUUNCUCUAUCAUCACAUGCUUUCAUAUUAACAGAAUUUCAUGAAAAUAAUUAUCAAAAAAAUUAGGCCCAACUAGUCAACCCUGCACUUUCCCUCCUCGAAAGCAUCAAAAAAAAAAAAUACAAAACAGAACAGAACGAGGCAGAAAAAGACAUAAGCAUGUAGCUGGCAGAGAUAUGAAAUUGGGAUAUUAAGUUAGCAAACGCAUCUCUGUAGCAUUCAUGUUGAAGAGGGAGCUGUUGACUUCUUCUUACAGAGAGAGAAUGGAGAAGAAGCUGUCAGAGGCAGCCUUACAAGGAGACGCAACGACGCUAGAGCAAAUCCUAACAGAAGAUCCGCUGAUACUGGACAGGAUCAUCGUCUCCUGCAUCUCCGAAACCCCCCUCCACACCGUGGCGGCGCUCGGACACCUCCGAUUCGUCAAGCUACUGCUGAGCCGGACGCCGGAGUUGGCGGCCGAGCUGGACUCGCGGGGGUGCUCGCCGCUACACCUCGCGGCGGCAAGGGGCACGCGGAUGUUGUGACGGAGCUCCUGCGCGAGGGCGGCAAAUCCGGAUCUGUUCGAAACGCGGACGGGAGGAACCCCUGCACGUGGCGGCGGUCAAGGGGAGGGCGGCGGUGCUGGCGGAAUGAUUUGGGGGUUGUUCAGAGCCAAAUACUGCUACACUAGGAG